AUCCGUGGACUUGAGCGACAAGAAGGUCAGAGUGGUAGUCACAUUUUAGGAGCUCGUAAGUAUAAUCUAACAGCCUGAAGAGACAUCUCCUAUGAUUCGAAUGACCCCUGCGCACCUCCCGCAGGUCACCUUACACUUCCUAGCUUGAGGCCUUUGCAGAAUCCAUACAAGCUGUGAAAUGAUUCCUUUCCAUGAAGCCCCGGAACAAAGCCGCUCGCUCUCCGCUUUCUGUGUAAAGAAUCAAUUGCCGAGGAGUGGGGAGGCAAGACUGGAAACAGAGAGACCAAGUGAGAGCCCAGGACUGAGAGAAUGAAGCCUUCAGCUCCAGCAGGAGCAGAGGAGAUGAGGGUGCAGGUCUGUCAGAGACGUGCUUCCUGUCACCGCCCCUCCUGUGCCCACGAAGGCAUCACCAGCGGACACCAAACUCCUUCCUGAUGAGCCGGGAAAUGGCUACAAGUCCUCAAUACGACAUCCUCAAUAUGCACAUGUAGAUGAUACAAGGUUCAAAUAACUUUGGGGGAAACUUUUUCCUUCUCAGAAUCUCUCUAUCCAAGUUAGACUCCUUUAGAGGAUAUUUGGGUUUCAAAUUUCAGAUUUUUAGAGGAGAAUAGAAGGAGCACCAGUGAGCGGCACUCCUAGAAAGCUUCCCUAAUGGCCUAGACUUGUGCCCGUCAUCCUAAUGGGGUCUGCAAAGUGAGGCACUCAGAGAGUUUGACGGGUUUGAUGAUAGCUUUGUAAGAUUGACC
rnacentral:lncRNA from 1 species